rnacentral:piRNA from 1 species
UAUAAUGUUUUCAAAGGGUUUC